UGAGCUGCAGUUUUGACCACUGGAACGCAAACACAAUCUGUUCCUCGAACUUCUUCACAGUUCAUAGAUGUGCACCACCUGUGCUUGAUGACCUCCAUGAUAUUUCACACAUUCAGAAGGUGGAAAUGGAGUUAACCACAGAUGAUAAAUGCUGCAGGUGCAAGGCCGCGAGCAGGGAAGCUGAAGCCUUAUGCGGUGCCCACGAUUUUCGACCAUUCCAAGCCGCUAUUGCCUGAACGUACUGUCUUCGCGAAGAGAAGAAAGGAGUAGUAGCAGUGCACAGACUGAGCCAAACCAGAUGUACACACGUGGAGUGCAAACAAGGCCAUGUGUGAGAAUUAUUGGUACACAAACAUGAGCUGCAGUUUUGACCACUGGAACGCAAACACAAUUUGUUCCUCGAACUUCUUCACCAGUUCACAGAUGUGCACCACCUGUGCUUGAUGACCUCGGUGAUAUUUCACUUAUUCAGAAGGUGGAAAUGGAGUUGACCACACAUUAUGAAUGUUGCUGCCCGAGCACAACGCCGCCCCUCCUCCUUCAGAACACUACAAAGACGCAUGCCCCUGGUGUAACGAACAGCCCACUGCCUACCACGUCGUCAUGUGGGGGUGUACGGGCCCCAAACCGCCAGACAUACAAACACAACAACCGGAGGAGCAGUGGGAGGCCACCCUGUCCAGCUCAGACCUAGAGACCCAGCGCGGACUGGUAAUCCAGGCGAGAGCAGCAGCCAAGGCCACUGGAGUUUUGAAAUGAAGACUCCACUCACUGUACAUUUCUUUUUUUCUCCGUAUUUCUUU